rnacentral:ncRNA from 1 species
CCGGUGCGCCCCCGGCGGCCCAUGAAAAUCCGGAGGACCGAGUACCGUUCACGCCCGGUCGUACUCAUAACCGCAUCUGGUCUCCAAGGUGAACAGCCUCUGGCCAAUGGAACAAUGUAGGCAAGGGAAGUCGGCAAAACGGAUCCGUAACUUCGGGAAAAGGAUUGGCUCUGAGGACUGGGCUCGGGGGUCCCGGCCCCGAACCCG